GGUGUAAGUGGGUGAUAAGGAAGUGUACUUAUAUAGCAAAACACCUUUUUUCUUCUUACAAUAGUCCAUAGCUUUUUAAUUUACCAUAGUUUAAAGCUUUUGCUUCUUUGAGAGCAGAAAUGAUGGAGCUGAUGAAAUUGAGGGAGCUGAGGUCCGUGCUGCCUCUGCCAUGUGUUCCCCCAACCACCCGCACUGAAGCAUUUAACUUCUUUGCUUCUGCAUGGGUUGAGGCUACCACAGCCUCAAAGGCUUUAUACAACUCUUUGAAACUAGGAAAGUAUUGAAAGGUGGAAGUUUGUUCCGUAUCGCUAGCAUAUUGAGCCUCUUCUGUAUAGUUGAACUUCUUGGCUCGUGUUAUUAACCGAAAGAAAGCUCAAGAUGUGAUUUAAUCUCAUAAGAAACAAGCCAGAUAUGUGCGUUGCUUUAUGAAACCAUGCUACCAGGAAUCCCUCAGCCAGUGCGUUCCCCAGGGAUCCACAACGUGCAGCUGGAGCAGCAAAAGCUUGGGAUCGAAAGCUAUGUUGUCUUUUAUUGGGAAGUCUCCAGCUGUCUAGCAAAGAAAUGGGAACUCCAGCUGUUUCCUCCACAUCUGGGCUCUCCAGUGCUGCUGACUGCUGUUUGUGAGGUCCCAGAGCUGGGGAGCCCUGCUGAUCUGGCUACAAGAGCUUCCAGCACUAUUCCAGUCUUCAUUAACUCAUCACAUACAAUACAAAGAAGUGAAUUGCACUGGAUUAGUCAAAUGUCUGCAUGGAUUUAUAAGGAAUGAGAGAUCCACGCAGAAUGUUCUUGUGGGCUUAAAGAAGAACCUCUGACGAAGCAGAAAGCUAUAAGUUUGAGGGGGAAAAAAGAGAAGAGAGAGGCUGGGUAUAAAAUAGCGACCAUCAACCAUCCCUAAUGUUCAUUAAUGUUCCUGAAUGGAGCUCAGCAGCAAAGCUGGGCUGCUGUUGGUUGAUGAAGAGCCUUUCCUCUGAGGGUGUGGAUUCUGAAAAACACCACUGGAAAAAUGCAGGCAUACUUGUAUAUAUGUAUAUAUCCAUGCCAUGCCAACUUGGAUGUGUUUGCCAGUUAUUUGAUUCGGUGUGGGGAGGACUUCAUCCCGUGUCAGUACUCACGGUCUUAAAUGGGAGCACUUUACCCUACUUAUUUGUUUUUUAACUUCUGAAGGAAUGACUGAAAACUCAUCCAAAGUCAUGAAUGCCUGUGGGCAUUCCCUGGAAGAAUUCCCUUCAUGCCUGGCACAGUGUGUCCAAAGUGAUGCUAACCCCUAGAUGUUGAAGAGGAGGAUGACAUCACACAGCUCUGGUUGAAGCCAUCUGCUCAUGGUGCUGAACUGGAAGGUGAGCUCCCGCAGAAACGCGGCCCUCGUUGAGAGUAUUGAGCUUUGCUGAAAGUCCUGACUCUAUUCCACAUUCACAAGGACAGCCUUACAAUGCAAAGCCUCUCCUUGGCAUAAGGACAGAUGCAAGCUUAUAACAGUAUGCACUUAGUUAUAGAGGUAAUUUUAUUUGCCUUUGUUAGAAUCUUUAAUAUAAAACUCAGUAAAAUGACCUCUCUAAUAAAAAUGGCUCAGAGAAAUAACAAUAAACAGGUUUUAUGAUACGGAAGAUGCAUUAAAAAAAUCCUGCUAAGGAAAAUGAUCUUAGGAGUCUCAAGAAAAUAUUAAUAUGAAAGGAGAGACUUUUUCCCUAUCCGCUACAAUCAAAGAUGGGUGGUCUGCAUGCCACGUGAGCUUCCUUGCUCCAGCUCUUGUGGGCAGGAGGAGGGGAAGCUGUACUCUAUCUUAGUAAUGAACUCUGACUGUCCAGGAAAGCAUUUAUUUUUGCAAAAUUAAAAAGGGGGGGAGUCAAUGGAUCUGUUUAUAGCUAUAUAAAAAGGCAGAAAAGUUAAUGCUAACAUAUGUUGCUUCAUGUUCCCAGAGCAAAAACAUUUGCAGGAUAAUAUCCCGGAGCGCAGGUGGUAAGCGAUCAAUACUCUUAUUUGUUUUUAAGGGAUGGCAGAACUGCUCACCUAUAGGAGUUGCAGUGAAUGCGUAGAACCCCUACGGACACAUGGCAUUAAUGUACGGGUGUUGUAGGCGUUGUAUUACAUAGACUUCAGGAGUUGGCACUCAGCUACCAGGAUGUCUAUAGCUUUUGUUCAGUGGGAGGUGUCCAUACCAAGCACAGUUCUAGAUCCUAAUGGGGUGGAAGGACAUGUGCCACAGGGGAAUCCAUGGAAAAUUGAAUCAUGGUCGUGUCUUCUGCUGGCUGAGCAGGUUUCUUCUGUUAUCUAGCAUGAAUUACAUCCAAUUCCAGUGUCACAUCUCUAGAAAAUGAUGAAAAUGCUUUCUUUCUCCUGCUUAUUGAUACAGGAUGUUUAGGUCAGGAACAGACUCCUGGCCUGAGCUUUUAGACUGCAUGGCCCCAGAGCUGCAAACUCAUGUAGCUAACCAUGCACUACCACUAUGAUGAUAUCCAGAGAUGUCAUCUCUCUUUACGGAUCUACACAGACUGUAGAUUUUUCUUCAGGGAUACAUGCCCCUAGAGAUAAAUCUUCCUCUCUUUAAUCCAAAACAUCCAACUGGCAAUUACUUGCAUCUCACAAAGAUUUCACUGGAAGUGACCUUUGGUGGUUUUGGGACAAAACGUGAACCUUUCAUCUUUCCCGUGGCUGUAAGUGAUCAGAUAGAGGCAAAACCCUAUUUCCUGCCUUCCCAUACCUGCUGAGAGGGAGCCGGGGGGCUGCUGGUGUGAGAUCACCAUCUUUCAGAGGACAGCAAAAUGCUUUAUGAAGACUGUGAUCUAAAUACAGAUGAGAUAGCUGGCAAGGCUCCAGUAUUGCUUCAGGACCUUGUAUAUCUUCUCUGCCUUCAGGACCCAGGUGUUGCCAGUUACCACCAGUAUUCCUGACGUCAGAUAUGGUUUCUUCCAUUCAUGAGGCCAACGGAACAGUUGACCACAAAGAGUCUAACCCUAGGUGUUUUGUUUGAGAGACAUGUAGUACUUUUUUUCCAUAGAGAGAGAAGGUACUUUGUGCUCACUGUACUGGGCCUUCAGUUCGCUUUCUCAUUCAGACCAGGGCCAGGUAAGCCAAGAUAAACUGGGAACUCUGGAAGUGUAGGCCCUCUUCUUCCCAUUGUCCCCAGACUAGAAGAUGGUCUGGUGGUUCAAGCUGGGUUAUGCUGGGCCCCUGCCUGCUUUUUCUUGGACUUGUGCAUAUUAAUGUUUCCAUCGAGCACUUUGAUCAUUGGCAAACUGUUCUCUGCCAGCAUUGUUCCAUCAGAGAGUUUGAAAGCUCAUCUUGAGAGAAGAUUAACUAAUAAUCAGUGAUGCUUUUGUUACAUGCAUUCCCACAAGACCCACUGCUGGUGACUUGACUGAAAACAUGAAUGAAUUGAGCUUUACUCCACGUCUGCGAGUUAGAGAAAUAUGUCAUUUUAACUUUUUCAGUAACAUAAGCAGUUUUUCAGAACAUUAAACUCACUGGACACAACACAACUAGAGAGUUUUGCUGUUUUCCUCCAGCUGCUAACAGAGCUAAAUGUUUUCCCAGUGUAAAUAGCAGGGCCAUGGAUGGGGUCAGCUCCCCUCCAGCCCCACUCUGUGUCAUGGCCGUGCAAACGCCACCUGAGCAAUUCUCCUUGGACUGCAUUGUAGUAAAGAACAUCGGGAAAAUGAUUCCAAAAUUGAAGGCUAUCCUGAUGUCUUUACUAGCAAUAUCUGUUUUUAAAUUGAGUGAGCUCUGGCUUGUGUCUCUAUCUGUUCCAGCUGCAGAAUUAUGGCUGGAGGACAGAGGCACUCUCCUGGGUGUGAAAUAUUGCAAGGAGGGAGUGCAUUCCGAACACAGGGGUGGCCUGGCAGAGGAGGGUACCAUGGAGAAGUGGUUAGACCCAGAAAGAAGCUGAACGUUAGAUCUGCAAACACGUUUCAAGUUCUCUGGUUUUGAGAAAACUUCCUAGGGUUUUAAUUCAUCGUUUCUCUUGUUUUUGCAGCAAGAACAACUGUGGUUACCUCACUGCUCUGGCUCUGUGCUGACAGAGGGCACUGGGGAGAGAUCUAUCACUGCUGAUGUUGAGGCUUUGCCGAUAACCUCUGCCCGGGGCUGGGUGAAGCUACAAACGCUGCCCAGUCUUCGGAGGUACAGGACCAGUCUGUCAGGCUGUUGGCACACAACAACAAUUGUUUUAUUGUCAGACAAUCAUGGUCAUCUGCAAGGAAUCAGUUUUCAAAGAAGCAUUUGACGGACUGACACCCACUGGAGCCGGGGACAAGAUGAAAUGCUCCGAUUCAAAGCAGAUUAGGACUUGCUGUUCUGGAAAUCAAGUGAGUUUUGAAGAGGCUGAUGAAGCUCAAUUUCAAAACUAUCAAUCUGGUUUUUAAAAUGUGUUGGGAUCCAGACUGGCUAUAGCAAAAUAGAGUUUUACACCAUACAGUGGCCAUCCCUAUUUGACAACGGUGGAAGACUGUGACUGUACAAUAGCUAUUGAUAAUCCUUCUAUAAAGGACUUAUGCCUACUGAGUGACACGGGGCAUUGCUCUCAACACGGGAUAUAUGCUUCCAAGGUACCUGCUCUGCGAGGACCACAGCCAGCUGAGAACUGAAAGCUAUGGGAGAGCAUGGCAUGCUUUGUAGAGAGGGCAACAGUAAGGAGAAAUGCUAAACAUAUUAGACAAAUCAUCUCUUCUUUCAUUGAACAACUCCAGCCAUGACCUCUGAUCCUCUUGGUAAAAGCUGAAUUUAAUUUCUGCUGCCCCCACCCAAUAUUUCUUGUGCAUUUGCUAUAUAGCUUCCUGCAAUCCCAUUUAUUGCUCUCCAGAGCUCACAGAAUGUUUGCUUCCUGCAAACUUCGAUUUAUAUUUUUGCCAUUAACUGUAGAUACUCUUUUGUUUGCACACUUAGAGAACUUUCAGUAUUAAGUUUCAAUGUGUUAACAUGGAAUAAACUGGAAAGAAACUAUUUCUUGGUUGGAAUUGAUCAGGUCCUCAGCUGAAUGGUCACAUUUCAGGUUGUUGGAAUUACACAGAGGCAGCUCUUGCGUUUUCCAUUGGUUGAGCUGUCUUUACUGCAUAUCCAGGUUCAGAAGCAGCAAAGCCUUGGGUUUGGAUUUCCUUUUUCAUUUGUUCCCUUGAGGAAUGCUGG
ensembl:lncRNA